rnacentral:snRNA from 1 species
UUGGAACCAUACAGAGAAGAUUAGCAUGGCCCCUGAGCAAGAAAGACAUGCAAAUUCAUGAAGCCUUCCAUAUUUAU